rnacentral:rRNA from 1 species
UACAGAGGCCCCAAGCGUUAGGCGGAAUCACUGGGCUUAAAGCGUGUGUAGGCGGACUUCUAAGUGCCUUGUGAAAUCCCACGGCUCAACCGUGGAACUGCUGGGCAUACUGGGAGUCUUGGGCCAUUCAGGGGCAACUGGAACAAGCGGUGGAGCGGUGAAAUGCGUAGAUAUCGCUUGGAACGCCGAAGGUGAAAACAGGUUGCUGGGGAUGUGCCGACGCUGAGACACGAAAGCCAGGGGAGCAAACGGG